rnacentral:piRNA from 1 species
UUAGAGCUUCAACCUCCAGUGUGA